rnacentral:rRNA from 1 species
CAAGACCAGGACGUUGAUAGGCCGGGUGUGUAAGCGCUGCGAGGCGUUGAGCUAACCGGUACUAAUUGCUCGUGCGGCUUGACUAU